rnacentral:rRNA from 1 species
AGCGAACGCUGGCGGCAGGCCUAACACAUGCAAGUCGAACGAACCUUUCGGGGUUAGUGGCGGACGGGUGGGUAACACGUGGGAACGUGCCUUUAGGUUCGGAAUAACUCAGGGAAACUUGUGCUAAUACCGAAUGUGCCCUUCGGGGGAAAGAUUAAUCGCCUUUAGAGCGGCCCGCGUCUGAUUAGCUAGUUGGUUGAGGUAAUGGCUCACCAAGGCGACGAUCAGUAGCUGGUCUGAGAGGAUGAUCAGCCACAUUGGGACUGAGACACGGCCCAAACUCCUACGGGAGGCAGCAGUGGGGAAUCUUGCGCAAUGGGCGAAAGCCUGACGCAGCCAUGCCGCGUGAAUGAUGAAGGUCUUAGGAUUGUAAAAUUCUUUCACCGGGGACGAUAAUGACGGUACCCGGAGAAGAAGCCCCGGCUAACUUCGUG